UAGAGUUUGAUCAUGGCUCAGAUUGAACGCUGGCGGUAUGCUUAACACAUGCAAGUCGAACGGAAACGAUACUAGCUUGCUAGUAGGCGUCGAGUGGCGGACGGGUGAGUAACGCGUAGGAAUCUACCAGAUAGUGGGGGAUAGCCCGGAGAAAUUCGGAUUAAUACCGCAUAAUCUCUACGGAGUAAAGGAGGCCUCUAUUUAUAUGCUUUCGCUAUCUGAUGAGCCUGCGUAAGAUUAGCUAGUUGGUGAGGUAAAAGCUCACCAAGGCAACGAUCUUUAGCUGGUCUGAGAGGAUGAUCAGCCACACUGGGACUGAGACACGGCCCAGACUCCUACGGGAGGCAGCAGUGGGGAAUAUUGGACAAUGGGGGCAACCCUGAUCCAGCAAUACCGCGUGUGUGAAGAAGGCCUGAGGGUUGUAAAGCACUUUCAAUUGUGAAGAAAAGUUAAUAGUUAAUAACUAUUAGCCU
rnacentral:rRNA from 1 species